rnacentral:rRNA from 1 species
CACGUAGGGCGCAAGCGUUGUCCGGAAUUAUUGGGCGUAAAGAGCUCGUAGGCGGUCUGUCGCGUCUGGUGUGAAAACUCAGGGCUUAACCCUGAGCUUGCAUCGGGUACGGGCAGACUAGAGUCCGGAAGAGGAGAGUGGAAUUCCUGGUGUAGCGGUGAAAUGCGUAGAUAUCUGGAGGAACACCGGUGGCGAAGGCGGCGUUCUGGACUGCAACUGACACUGAGGAACGAAAGCCAGGGGAGCAAACGGG